GCUUUCAUGGCUCCUAAUUUCAAAACCCUCCGUCUGAAGAACGAGUAACCCGCGACCCGCAAUCCUUGAGAAGCAGCGUGGUUAGGAAUCGAAGCUCAUCGAUCGAACGAACUAAAGAGAUUUUCAAUCACCAGUUUGGAUUCAGAAUGUUCGGUAGAAGCAGGUUCCUCUCGUUCCCCAUGGUAAUUGGCGCUGUUAUCAUUGGUGUUGUUUCUGGGAAAGCAAUAUUUGGGCCACCUCUUGAUGAAUACUGGAAAAAGAAGUUGGAAGAAGAGGCAACCGCAAAGAAGACAGGUACCAGUUCAAGUCAGCAUAGGAGCAAAAUUUGGUGAAACAUGUUUAUGUACAAGCCAAAAAACACUUUUGCGCAGGCUAAGGCACAGGCGCAGGUCAAACUUCAUUCUCGCCCAAGCUUGUAUGCAAAAGGUAAUGUCCAUUUUUGCUAAAGACGUUCUUUAAAAGCAUAUCUGUUUUCCCAAUCUUUUAAAUAGAUGUGAUUUUACUCUAUCAGAAAUCCUUACCAUCCUUUAGAUGUAAAAGAUCGUUGGUGUUCGACAAUUUGCCAGAUAGAAAGGAUAGUUGAGUGUUCAACUAACAUUAGUGUUAUUCAACUAACACUGGUUUAUACUGAAGUAACUAACUUAGAUAACCAAGUCAAUGUGCCAUGAUGACAAAUGAGGGAUGUAUUUAGCGGAGUUUUAUGAAGAGAGUCAAAGGCUAAAGUAUAAUUAUAAUGAUCUAGACCAUCAUACUUUUGGGGGUGGAGAUGAAAAUGAAAGAAUCUCAAUAUAUAAGGACCAACAAUCAUGCCAAGAGUCUGAGUCACUCCAACACCGCUCGACUGGUUAAGACAUGUUUUUUAUCAAAAAAGACCGGAGGUUGAAGUCCUUACUUCAUGUAUUGUUAAACUCAAAAAAGGCCUGUAGCACAUAUGCUAGUUGAGGGAGUCUCAAUCUGGGCGUAGCCAAGCAAAGGUGUGUUCUACGCAGCUUGAGUUGAACCACGUCGAGCGAAGGUUAAUACUUACUAACACUAUGCUUCUAUCUAUGGAAUUAAUUCUAUUCUGAGUUAUCAUGCUGAAUAGUUGAGCUGAUUAACUCAUAUGGUUUGCCACCACUCUUUAUUAGGCUUCGUGUUGUUACCUUAGUCAUGACGUUCAAACCUACAUCUGCGUGAGGUUUAUCCACUUUUUUUAAUAUAACAUUGUAAUUAUGGGGGUGUUGAGUCAAAGCUUCUAUCUAUGCAAGGUUGAUGAUGAUUUAACCGUUGAA